rnacentral:tRNA from 11 species
GAAAUCGGUAGACGCUACGGACUU